rnacentral:rRNA from 1 species
CCCCCAGAUGUUCUGGGCCGCACGCGCGCUACACUGAACAGUUCAACAAGUCUUAACCUUGGCCGAUAGGUCUGGGUAAUCUUUGAACGCUGUUCGUGAUUGGGAUAGACCUUUGCAAUUAUGGGUCUUCAACGAGGAAUUCCUAGUAAACGCAAGUCAUCAGCUUGCAUUGAUUACGUCCCUGCCCUUUGUACACACCGCCCGUCGCACCUACCGAUUGAAUGGUCCGGUGAAAUCUCGGGACGGCGGCUUGGUCGCUUGCGUCCGACUGCUGAAACUUGAUUAAACCAUAUCAUUUAGAGGAAGGUGAANUCGUANCA